rnacentral:lncRNA from 1 species
AUGAGUGGUCGCGAGCGCAGUAGAAACCGAACCUGGUCGUUGGAUUCGGACCUUGACUCGCGUGCGUCCCAGACAGUGGGCAGUUCGUCGGGGGGUCUUGAGGAGGACAAGGAGGUCGCCUUGCAAGCUGUACUGUUCUUCAUCAAUGGUUCCAGGAGAGGUGCAGUGCACCUGUGCUCGAGUAUAGCCGAGAUACUGCGCGAGAAUCAACGUCUGCACAGGACCGUAGAGGUCCAAAGGGCCCGAAUAGAGGAGCUGAUGUGCUCUCUGUCCACUGCUCCGGCUGCUCCUGUGGGUCCCUCAGAUUCCAACAGAUCCCAGACCAACUCCACCUCUCCCUUCUCCUGCCUCCCCUCUGUCUCUCUCGCCGCCUCCUCCCCCUACCUCCCCUCUCCCCCAGCCAGUGUCUCCCCCAGUGUGUCCUCCUUAUACAGUUCUGGGAGGGGCAGCCUGUGCUCUAACACCACACCCCCCUGCCUCCCCCCUCUAUCCUUUAGCACCACACCCCCCUGCCUCCCUCCUCUGGUCCCCCUUCACAACCUCACCCCUCAGAGGAGACAGACAGCAGUUCUGCCCUGUGUGAAAGAGUGUGAGAAGGAGGAUCCGGGAGAAAAGGAGAGGAGAGGAAAGGAAGGCAGGAGAGGAGAUGAGAGGGUGAAGAAGAGAGGGGGAGAAAGGAGACAAGAAGACAGCAGUCUUACUCCACCCUCUGUAGAAGAAGCUCUGGGAUCACAACCCUUACCCAUCAUGCCUCACUCCUCCCAUAGUGACAGCAUUCCCAGAGAAAGAGUCAGGAGGAGGGAGAAGGGCAACCUGUCGUCUGAGCAGGGUGCACAGACAUCGGACCGAAAACACACGCUGAAGAAAAGAGAGAAUGUCCUAAGGAGAAGUGCCUCAUGUGGACCUCUGAGGGGAGAGAUGGAGGAGACAAAAAAGGAGGAGAGGUGGUGUCUGGCCCCAGACUAUCCUGACUCCUCGUCCACAGUCCAAGCAGCAGGAGGGCUGGAACCCAGGGCAUUAACCACCAGGAAGAAGCACCGCCUGUGUGUGAAUGACCGUGUAGUGCUGGAGGGGAGGAUGAGAGGAGAGGAGAGGAGAAGAGGAGCUGUGAGGUUCAUCGGACCACUGGAAAACACUGAGUCUACAGACAUCUAUAUAGGAGUGGAAUUGGACACAGCCAGUGGAGAAAAUGAAGGCAGUCUCCAUGGUAACAGGUACUUCAGGUGUAAGCCCAACCAUGGAACAUUCACCACCAUCACGGGGAUCAGAAAGCUCUCUCGAUCAUCAAUCUCCAAGUCUAGAAGCUCCAAACCUCCAGAGGAGGGUGACUCUAGUGACUCUGGGGCAGGGAGCUAUGCAGUGGCAAUAGGGAGGAGCAGCCAGAGCGUUGGGAGUAGGAGCAGGAACGGGCUCAGAAGGACCUGGAACCAGAUGGACAUUAGAGCCCAGGUCCAUUCAGAGCCAGGAGGACCCAGAGACAAGACUACUGUGGAGAACCCUGGACUGGACUGA